rnacentral:tRNA from 18 species
GCGGGAAUAGCUCAGCUGGUAGAGCGCAACCUUGCCAAGGUUGAGGUCGCGAGUUCGAAUCUCGUUUCCCGCUCCA